rnacentral:rRNA from 1 species
UACGUAGGCAGCAAGCGUUGUUCGGAGUUACUGGGCGUAAAGGGUGCGUAGGCGGCCCUGUAAGUAUGGUGUGAAAUCUCCCGGCUUAACUGGGAGGGUGCGCUAUUGACUGCGGGGCUCGAGUGUGGGAGAGGAAAGUGGAAUUCCUGGUGUAGCGGUGAAAUGCGUAGAUAUCAGGAGGAACACCGGUGGUGUAAACGGCUUUCUGGACCAUAACUGACGCUGAGGCACGAAAGCGUGGGUAGCAAACAGG